GACGAACGCUGGCGGCGUGCUUAACACAUGCAAGUCGAACGGAAAGGCCCCUUUGGGGGUCCUCGAGUGGCGCACGGGUGAGUAACACGUGAGUAACCUGCCCUUGACUUCGGGAUAACUUCAGGAAACUGGGGCUAAUACCGGAUAGGAAUCCUUGCUGCAUGGUGGGGGUUGGAAAGCUUCGGCGGUUUUGGAUGGACUCGCGGCUUAUCAGCUUGUUGGUGGGGUAGUGGCUUACCAAGGCUUUGACGGGUAGCCGGCCUGAGAGGGCGACCGGCCACAUUGGGACUGAGAGGCGGCCCAGACUCCGACGGGAGGCAGCAGGGGGGAAUAUUGCACAAUGGGCGGAAGCCUGAUGCAGCAACGCCGCGGGCGGGAUGACGGCCUUCGGGUUGUAAACCGCUUUCAGCAGGGGCGAAGCUUGUGGUGACGGUACCUGCAGAAGAAGCACCGGCUAACUACGUG
rnacentral:rRNA from 1 species